ACAUACCAAUGAUCGCUUUUGUAAUGAAAGCUUUUCUUCGGAACAUUGGAUACAGGUGGUGCAUGGUCGUCGUCAGCUCGUGUCGUGAGAUGUUGGGUUAAGUCCCGCAACGAGCGCAACCCUUGUUAUUAGUUGCCAGCAUUUAGUUGGGCACUCUAAUGAGACUGCCGGUGAUAAACCGGAGGAAGGUGGGGACGACGUCAGAUCAUCAUGCCCCUUAUGACCUGGGCAACACACGUGCUACAAUGGGAAGUACAACGAGUCGCAAACCGGCGACGGCAAGCUAAUCUCUUAAAACUUCUCUCAGUUCGGACUGGAGUCUGCAACUCGACUCCACGAAGGCGGAAUCGCUAGUAAUCGCGAAUCAGCAUGUCGCGGUGAAUACGUUCCCGGGUCUUGUACACACCGCCCGUCAAAUCAUGGGAGUCGGAAGUACCCAAAGUCGCUUGGCUAACUUUUAGAGGCCGGUGCCUAAGGUAAAAUCGAUGACUGGGAUUAAGUCGUAACAAGGUAGCCGUAGGAGAACCUGCGGCU
rnacentral:rRNA from 1 species